UACAAGCAGUGGGAGCACAGGUUUACCUGUGUGACUGCGUACCUUUUGUAUAAUGGGUCAGCGACUUAUAUUCUGUAGCAAGGUUAACCGAAUAGGGGAGCCGGAGGGAAACCGAGUCUUAAUUGGGCGUUAAGUUGCAGGGUAUAGACCCGAAACCCGGUGAUCUAGCCAUGGGCAGGUUGAAGGUUGGGUAACACUAACUGGAGGACCGAACCGACUAAUGUUGAAAAAUUAGCGGAUGACCUGUGGCUGGGGGUGAAAGGCCAAUCAAACCGGGAGAUAGCUGGUUCUCCCCGAAAGCUAUUUAGGUAGCGCCUCGUGAAUUCAUCUCCGGGGGUAGAGCACUGUUUCGGCUAGGGGGCCAUCCCGGCUUACCAACCCGAUGCAAACUGCGAAUACCGGAGAAUGUUAUCACGGGAGACACACGGCGGGUGCUAACGUCCGUCGUGAAGAGGGAAACAACCCAGACCGCCAGCUAAGGUCCCAAAGUCAUGGUUAAGUGGGAAACGAUGUGGGAAGGCCCAGACAGCCAGGAUGUUGGCUUAGAAGCAGCCAUCAUUUAAAGAAAGCGUAAUAGCUCACUGGUCGAGUCGGCCUGCGCGGAAGAUGUAACGGGGCUAAACCAUGCACCGAAGCUGCGGCAGCGAACGUAUCACCCAAGACAACUUUACGGAGUUGACGAUUGACGGAGCGAAGCGACGUCAAAGCGUUCAUUAAAGUCGAGUUGGCUUAGGGAUACGUUCGUUGGGUAGGGGAGCGUUCUGUAAGCCUGUGAAGGUGUGUCGUGAGGCAUGCUGGAGGUAUCAGAAGUGCGAAUGCUGACAUAAGUAACGAUAAAGCGGGUGAAAAGCCCGCUCGCCGGAAGACCAAGGGUUCCUGUCCAACGUUAAUCGGGGCAGGGUGAGUCGACCCCUAAGGCGAGGCCGAAAGGCGUAGUCGAUGGGAAACGGGUUAAUAUUCCCGUACUUGGUGUUACUGCGAAGGGGGGACGGAGAAGGCUAUGUUGGCCGGGCGACGGUUGUCCCGGUUUAAGCGUGUAGGUGUGUGUUCCAGGUAAAUCCGGUUCACUUUAACACUGAGGCGUGACGACGAGGCACUACGGUGCUGAAGCAACAAAUGCCCUGCUUCCAGGAAAAGCCUCUAAGCAUCAGGUAACACGAAAUCGUACCCCAAACCGACACAGGUGGUCAGGUAGAGAAUACCAAGGCGCUUGAGAGAACUCGGGUGAAGGAACUAGGCAAAAUGGUGCCGUAACUUCGGGAGAAGGCACGCUGACAC
rnacentral:rRNA from 1 species